AGGGAGGCUGUCUUUGUGGGCAGUGGCACUGGAGGGCUGGCUGCUAAUGAAGGCUCCCUGAAUGGCGUGAUUGUGCUGCUGUUUAUAUAGUUUUGAUUUUAAUUUGCAUCCGUACCAGCCUCGGAUCCCAAGAGUCAUUCAGCCGUAUUGGAGGCGAACCUGCCCGCUUAUUGGUCUCCGGGAAACUGAUGUGAGUCCCUCCCCCCACUGUUAUCAUGUGCUGGUAAUUGUUUAUGGAUCAUGAAGAGGAAGAAAGGCUCCACAGAACCAGAGGUUUCUUCUCUCACAUGGCUGGAUCAUAUGAGAUGGAGCUCUUUUGUUAAAAGGCUUUUGAGAGAAAGUGUCUGAGACGGAGGCUGGGGCUGGGGGAGACAGAGCGCCAAAGAGCCAAGAUGAAGCUCCUGGAGAUAGAGGAGUUUCUCCUCCUAGGGAUGCCUGUUCCUUAAUUUCUCUGUUUCUGCCAAACACGCCGGGGCAGACUUGGACUUAAGAACCAAUUCUAGCCCACUAGUCUCUUUAUAAAUAAACACCCGCACCCAAGGCCCCCUACGGUGCAGUGAUCUGGCUCUUGCUGGUUGCUUGUGCGUUCUCAGUUUCCUCUCCAGUGUUCCCCACCGCUGUGCGCUAACUCUGUUCCACGCUUCUGCUCCGUCCAAUGUCAGGGUCUGAGACUCACUGAAGAAAGAGCCCAGACUCAAGCGGUAUGCAAAAGCAAGGAGCAUUUAUUCUGCAGCAACUGUCCAGCAUGCUGGGGCCACCAUUCCUGAGAGUGAGCACGCAGGCUCAAUUUAAAGGCCAUUAGGGGGAUUUCCAGAAGGAGUGAGGUAAACUUCCAUUUGAUUGGGUAGUGGUGGUGACUCAGGAGGUCAGGGGAUUUAGGAUUGGCUGAACGUUUAGGAACUUUCCAGAGUUGCUAAGGACUUUUCCUUAGGUUUGCUGAAUCAUUAUACUUAGCUCAAGCCCGAGUGUUAACCUUUAAGCUGACUGGCUGCCUGCAAGCUUUGUUUUUUCCAGAAAUUCUUUUUCUAUGUUCUGAGAGAUAGAAACUCGGGCAAAGCUGGAAAUGAAGCCUGUCAUCGGCUCUCGGGGCUUUGGAGUUAUUAGACCUCUCACCAGGACUCCACCUGGACGCCCCCCUCCUGCCUCUCCAGAGUCCUCACAUCUCAGUCCUCCCGCAUGCUCCAGCUCACAUUGUCCUCCUCAACGUGUGUGCCUUAAAAUUGGUUUCCACAUCCAACCAACCAGACGCAGUAAGGAGCUGGUACAAGUUAAUCCACAGCAUAUGCUGCCAGAGCCUAGGAAAAUUCCAGAAAGAAGUAAGACAACUGAAGAACGAAACAAAGCUUUGUUUUUCUAACUGAGGUCUAGAAAUCUGCAAAUGAGCCGGCUUGGAAGGCUGAAAACCGAAUGUGCAGCUCCGGAGGGAACUGGGCACAGGAAGAGUUUUGUCAGGUGUGAUGACAUGGACGUUGCUAUUCUGAUGCUUAGAUCCUCUGGAAAGACUGCUAAGCAGACUGCGGAUGGUUGUCAGGAGUGAGUUCUCUGAGGAUGAAGAAAGUGAAGAUGGAUGGGAGAAAAAUCAAGAAAUAAAACCAAAAUCCAGGAGAGCAGGGAACAGGAAAACCUGAAGCAAUAGGGAUUUUCUCAAGUGUGUUUAAGAGUCUGCAGCUUGUGAGUGGGAGAUGAGAUUCUUCAUGUCAUGUAACUGACAAACAGUCACAAUAAAAUCUCUGAUAUUAAGAAAGCCAUGACAGUCCCGGCCCAGCAGCACGUCCUGGAGCUGGAGCACAACAGCUAUAGUGUCUCCUGCCCUACUCAACUCCUGAGGCAAAAUUAACAUUUGAAUAAAGUUCCUGAGCGAGCACAGGGAGGAGGGAACCUGCUCGAUGCCUCCCAGUCAGCUGCUCCCCUCCCUCCACGGAUGCUCUCCUCCUGAGUGGGAGCCCUCCUCUGGCUGCUGCUUCCUAGGAAAGACUUGUCAUCACCUAGAGACAGGAACAGGCCACUGGCUGCCUACUGUGUCUCUCCUAGCGGAGUGCGCAGAGGUCACUGUGAGGACACAGUAAAUACUUGGAGGCAAGGAGCAGAAACCAUGUGCAAAAAGGCUGAUUCUGGAGGGAAGCCUACCGUUUCAGAGUUGGCACCCUACAUGGAGGGAGGAAACUUUCCACUCCUAGGUCCCCAGGAUAACGCCCUUCCGCAGGCUGGUCGGAAAACUCUCCACAUCCCCGGGCCGCAGCCCGCCCCUUUCGAAGUACCGUAGACUAAAAUCCAUCUGUAGGCAAGGCCAAUUCCCCACCCCAUUCCGCAUCUACUCUAGGUGGGGGUGGAGCCCAGCUCCAAACCCCGCCCUCCGAACGCCGCCAGCCGGAGAGAGGCGGCGCGGAAG